UCCCUGGUGGCUCAGAGGUUAAAGUGUUUGCCUCCAAAGUGGGAGACCCAGGUUCAAUCCCUGGGUUGGGAC
rfam:Ovis aries breed Texel chromosome 6, whole genome shotgun sequence.